rnacentral:rRNA from 1 species
AAUGAACGUUGGCGGCGUGGAUUAGGCAUGCAAGUCGCGCGACAAGGAACCUUCGGGUUCUGGAGGAGCGGCAAACGGGGUAGUAAGGCAUCGGAACGUACCCUCUUGUUGGGAAUAGCCGCGGGAAACUGCGAGUAAUGCCCAAUGAUCCCUACGGGGCAAAGGUCCGCCGCAGGAGGAGCGGCCGAUGUGAUACCAGCUAGUUGGUGAGGUAAUGGCUCACCAAGGCUUAGACGUCUAGGGGGUGUGAGAGCAUGGCCCCCACCACUGGGACUGAGAUACUGCCCAGACACCUACGGGAGGCAG